UUAGAGUGUAGAAUUCUAAAAACAAUAUAUAGCCAAAGUAUGUCUUUCUGUUGAGGUCAGUUUUCUCUAUAACCAUCUACCACGUCUAUUCUAGGCCCAAUAAAAUUCUUCUCUUUUACAGCUCACGGUGACAGAGAACACAGCACAUUGUAACUACAGGACUUUCACUCGACUGUGAAAGAUCUCCAUCAAGCCUCACAGAGAAUUUGAGGCAGCUGGCAGUUAUCAGCUGAAGCAGGUAGUCAGUAGAAGUGUAGAAGAUAAAUAGAUAAUUGAAAACCAAUCUGGAAACCUGGGAGAGAUAAUAAGUCUCUCUUCUAGAAGGGAGACAACAACUCAGAAAAUAUUUUCCUCCUGAAGUUCCUCACCUCAAAUGGAUGCAUUUUAGAGCUUCUCUUAUCUGAUGUCAUGAUCUUUUUCUACUGAAAUGGGAUUGCUCCAUCUCUACAACAUAACAAUGGCCAUGAACAAAGACUGGUUCAUAGGUGUUCUUUUCUGCUUCCAAGGAAAAGGAUGGGCAAAGGAGGAACAUAAUUUGCAUUACCUCUCUUCAGAAGGGAGUUUACAGCUCUAGUCUUGAGUUAAACAGCCAUUUAUGCUGAAGAACAUGUAGCCCAGAGCUCUGCCUGUCAUCUUUGUGUAUGUGUGUAUCUGUGUAUGUGUGUAUGCCUGUGUGCCUGUGCGUGCCAAAAGAAUAGUACCUGCUUUGAAAACCUUUGCUUCUGUCACAUAUUUCCUAAAUUGGACACACAGGUAGUCUCAAUAAAAAAUACCAGCUGUCUUAGAAAUAUUCAGUUGCCUAGAUUUUGAUAAAGUACAAUAUAAAUUCAAGAAUUUUUUCUUCUGUUCUUCUGAAAAACUAUUAUUAACAAAAUUGAAAGUGAAAAAUGAGUCUGUGAGGUCAGACUUGCUCCUAAAUACAAUUUGCUUUUACCAUUCUGGUAUUACUGUUAUGGCUAUUAUGAC